rnacentral:rRNA from 1 species
UACGUAGGGGGCUAGCGUUGUCCGGAAUCAUUGGGCGUAAAGCGCGUGUAGGCGGUCCGGUAAGUCCGCUGUGAAAGUCGGGGGCUCAACCCUCGAAUGCCGGUGGAUACUGUCGGGCUAGAGUGCGGAAGAGGCGAGUGGAAUUCCUGGUGUAGCGGUGAAAUGCGCAGAUAUCAGGAGGAACACCAAUUGCGGAGGCAGCUCGCUGGGACGUUACUGACGCUGAGACGCGAAAGCGUGGGGAGCGAACAGG